rnacentral:rRNA from 1 species
GAUGAACACUGGCGGCGUGCUUAACACAUGCAAGUCGAACGAAGCACUUUAUUUGAUUUCCUUCGGGACUGAUUAUUUUGUGACUGAGUGGCGGACGGGUGAGUAACGCGUGGGUAACCUGCCUUGUACAGGGGGAUAACAGUUGGAAACGGCUGCUAAUACCGCAUAAGCGCACGGCAUCGCAUGAUGCAGUGUGAAAAACUCCGGUGGUAUAAGAUGGACCCGCGUUGGAUUAGCUAGUUGGUGAGGUAACGGCCCACCAAGGCGACGAUCCAUAGCCGACCUGAGAGGGUGACCGGCCACAUUGGGACUGAGACACGGCCCAAACUCCUACGGGAGGCAGCAGUGGGGAAUAUUGCACAAUGGGCGAAAGCCUGAUGCAGCGACGCCGCGUGAGCGAAGAAGUAUUUCGGUAUGUAAAGCUCUAUCAGCAGGGAAGAUAAUGACGGUACCUGACUAAGAAGCACCGGCUAAAUACGUG